CUCAGCCCUGCUGCCCUGCGACCUGCUGAGCGACCAGUCGGAGGACGAGGCGAUGCCCUCCGAGGAUGAGGGCCUCUCCGCGGUCGAGUACGUGAAGGGUUACCCACCCAACUCGCCAUACAUCGGCAGCUCCCCCACCCUGUGCCACCUUCUGCCCGUGAAGGCCCCGUUCUGCUGCCUGCGCCUGGACAAGGGCUGCAAGCACAACAGCUAUGAGGACGCCAAGGCGUACGGGUUCAAGAACAAGCUCAUCAUCGUCUCAGCGGAGACGGCUGGCAAUGGGCUGUACAACUUCAUGCCGUGCCACUGCGGGCCUACUACCGGCCGCGCAGGGAGCUCAACCCCAUCGUGCUGCUGCUGGACAACAGGCCUGACCACCACUUCCUGGAAGCCAUCUGCUGCUUCCCCAUGGUCUACUACAUGGAGGGCUCUGUGGACAACCUGGACAGCCUGCUGCAGUGCGGCAUCAUCUACGCCGACAACCUGGUGGUGGUGGACAAGGAGAGCACCAUGAGUGCUGAGGAGGACUACAUGGCUGACGCUAAGACCAUCGUUAACGUGCAGACCAUGUUCCGGCUGUUCCCCAGCCUCAGCAUCACCACGGAGCUCACGCACCCCUCCAACAUGCGCUUCAUGCAGUUCCGCGCCAAGGACAGCUACUCUCUGGCCCUCUCCAAGCUGGAAAAGGCCAGUGGCAGUGCCACCUGCCCACCAGGGACUAGCGAGCCUGAGGGCAGUGGAGACCCAGGACUGGGCAAGUUGCCAUGAGAGACUGCGGCCCCCCGCCAGAGCCACCGAUGCACACUGCUCCUCAUGAGCCUGCGGUUGCCAGGCUAGGCACAGUCCGGGGUGGCACUGUGCCUGUGGACUGGCUGGGAGGACCCGCCAGCACCGCCCACCUGAGCUGGGACUGGCUCUGUGUGGACAGAAGGGCCAGACACGAGCCCAGGACAUGGCCUUGUCCAGCCAGAAGCUGCACAGACGGCAGAGUCAGGCUCCAUUCGGCUGGGACCCUGGGUUCUGGCUGCGCUCAGGUGGAUGGACAUGGGUGGCUCCCGCCUGCCCGGCCCAGGCCCUGCCCACGUGGGAACCCUGCCCCUCCGGGAGCUGGACACAGACUUCACAUCCCAGAAGGAGGUCACACGGGGCAGCUUCGCCUCUUCAGCCACCUGGGUCGUGUUGGGGCUGAGGAGGGUGCUUGGUAUCUGGAGACCAAGCUGGGCGCAGGGCAGCAGUCAGUGCCGGCUCCCCGGGAACGAGCCCGGCCGCCCACGCAGCCUGGAAGGGGAGGUUGGCAGACAGCCUGGCACCAGCCUGUUCCACAGACAUCACCUGCUGUCACCACUUUCCACCUGAGCCCCUUCCCCUGGGUGCUGCCUGCCUGCUCCUCCACCUCCACAGGGCCCAUGGGGGGCUCUGUGAUGCUAGGGGACCAGCUGGGGUGCCGGGUCAUCAUUGUGGGCAACCUCAGGCUGCCAAGCCUCAGGAAGUGGCCUGGGGUGGGGUGGCAGGGUCCAUGGUCACACUGUGCCUGUGGGCACCAGGCCUGCAGAAGGCACGGGGCCCUCGACUUCUGGGCUUGGAGUCCCCAGGCCCCCCGGGCUCCCAGACAGGGCAGACAGAACUCCCGGCAGCAUGAGAGCCUCUUAAAAG
rnacentral:lncRNA from 1 species